UGAAAGUGUCUCAGGGGAAUCGACGCGAU
rnacentral:sRNA from 1 species